AUUGAACGCUGGCGGAAUGCUUUACACAUGCAAGUCGAACGGCAGCACGGGGGCAACCCUGGUGGCGAGUGGCGAACGGGUGAGUAAUACAUCGGAACGUGCCCGGUCGUGGGGGAUGACGUAGCGAAAGUUACGCUAAUACCGCAUACGAUCUGAGGAUGAAAGCGGGGGACCUUCGGGCCUCGCGCGAUCGGAGCGGCCGAUGUCAGAUUAGGUAGUUGGUGGGGUAAAGGCCUACCAAGCCGACGAUCUGUAGCUGGUCUGAGAGGACGACCAGCCACACUGGGACUGAGACACGGCCCAGACUCCUACGGGAGGCAGCAGUGGGGAAUUUUGGACAAUGGGCGCAAGCCUGAUCCAGCCAUUCCGCGUGCAGGACGAAGGCCUUCGGGUUGUAAACUGCUUUUGUAUGGAACGAAAAGGCUCUGGCUAAUACCUGGGGCUCAUGACGGUACCGUAAGAAUAAGCACCGGCUAACUACGUG
rnacentral:rRNA from 1 species